UACGGGGGGGGGCAAGCGUUUGUUCGGAAUUACUGGGCGUAAAGGGCGCGUAGGCGGUCAGAUAAGUCAGCUGUGAAAACCUCGGCUUAACCCGAGCCUGCAGUUGAAACUGUUUGGCUGGAGUGUGGGAGAGGAGAGUGGAAUUCCCGGUGUAGCGGUGAAAUGCGUAGAUAGUCGGGAGGAACACCGGUGGCGAAGGCGGCUCUCUGGACCACUACUGACGCUGAGGCGCGAAAGCUAGGGGAGCAAACAGG
rnacentral:rRNA from 1 species